CUUCCCUGCUGCACCCCACUGAGCCUGCAGGGCUGGCUCCAUGCCCAGCUGCAGACUCAGGUUGCGCAGGCGGCUCUGCAGUUGAGAGAAGGUGGAAUCCAGCUCGCUCAGGGAUAAGAGAGAAGCGUUUUCCGGUCUGACCCACCAAACCCUCUGACGCAUGGGGAAUGUGCCUUCCUGAGAGGAGAGUCGGCAAACAUGUCACCCAACUCCCCUAGCCACAGAGUUCCCAUGACAAGGGAAGCCAAUGCUCUGUUCCUCCUCCUGCAUAGAUUCAGUCUCUAGGAAAGCGAACAGGGACCCAGACAUGGAAGCUGCCCAAAUACUUUCAGUCUGCAUUGCCCAACGUGGUGAGUAUGAGCCAAAUGCAGCCCACUUGCUACAGUGGCCAAGAGCACACGUGGAGUUAGACAACAAGUUUGACUCAGGCUGUGUGGCUACAGAAAAGUCUCCUGAGCUCUCUCGGACUCAUUGUUGGCAUCUGUAAAAUGCUAUUAGAUUGACACACAUAGAACAGUUGGCCAAAGAUGCUCAAAUAAAGAUCUGUCAGACGCUCAGCUGCAGCCUUGGAAACAGGGGCCUGCUUAUCAGCUUCUCACUUCCAUCAAGGACACAGCUUUCUGUUUCGGACACUGCUCAGCCAGCUUCGCUCUCUGGACACUGACUCCUGGGCUAGAGAUGUAGCUCAGCGGGUAGAGUACUUACCUAGUGUGCACAAAGGCCCUGGGUUCAAUACCCAGCAUCCCAUAAAAUUGGGAAUGGUGACACCCACUUGUAAACUUUAGCAUUUGAGAAAUGGAACAAGAAACUCAGUGUUUGAGGCCAGCCUGGACUAUGAAAGACCUGUCUCCAAAAACAAAAAAGCAAACACUGACUCCAACAGGAAACCAGAGCUUUUUCUCAAAGGAAAAGAGGUUUAAAACUCAACACAGAAGCUGGGUACCAUGAUGUUGGUCUGGAAUCCUCACAGCACAAUAAGAAAGCUUUCUUCCCAGUUCAUCCAGGACCUUCAGCAAGUGGUUCAGACAAUACUAACCCUCCACGGACAGAUUGACUUGCUGGCAGCAGUAGUACUUCAAAACCGACAUGGAUUGGAUCUCCUCACAGCUGAAGAAAGUGGCCUCUGCACCUCCUCAACCAGUCAGAAUUAUCAACCUCUGCUCACAGAACCAGAUGACAAUGACUCUCCAAUUGACCCUGAUGGUGGGACCAGCUGUACCCUGAGAAUGACGAUGCCCUUAAUCAGCAGGAAGUAGCUUGAAGAACAAAGGUUGCCCCAUGCCCUCCCCACCAUCACCCCUUCCUAGCUCCUCACUUUUUAAUAAAACAAAAAGGGAGGAAUGUUGGGAUCUGUAAGCAGGCAUCUCUAUGGCCAGCCCCAAGGGACCUGACAAACCAGAUAUCAGGCAUCUGUGAAUCCAUGUACAGAACACCUGGAACCACCUGUGAAUGCUCUAGGUCACCUUAUAAGAGAACUCGAAGCUUCCCCCCUUUCUCUCCUGCCUUGUCCAGAGAUAGUCUCUGUGACCCCUUCCCCCUUCCCUUCUCUUCCUCCUUUCCCUAUUAAUAAUAAACUUCCCACGUGGAACCAGUUGAGUGGUGUGAUUUGUGAACCCACCGUGUAACUCUUUUCCACAGGACUCUAGCAAGCGUAAUGGGUAAAAUCUGAAUGAUAGGAAACUAUGCAGGCUUGGAGGUUAAAGAUGGAGUAACUAUUGCCCAGCAUUGUGCUCCAGGUUAAUUAAAAAAAAAAAAUCCUAGUCUCUGUGUGGUGAUAUGGGUAUACAGCUGGUUUAGGAAUAACCGCUGCUGAACUAAAAGAUAGUAAAUAUUAAUAAUUUACAACACCAUCUUGAUUGUAAGGUAAAGUUAAGUUCAGGUUCUCACGUUCCACCUCCCAAAGAUUAAGAUGCUGAUACUUUGUAAGGUCAGAAUAACUUCUUAUUUUGUUCUGUCUCUAUGAUUUCAUUUCUCAAACUUUGUAUACUUUGUUACCUGGACAUCCUGUAAAGUCCCCCAACUACAGAACCAACCAAAAGUUAAAGUUCAGUUAAAGACCUUUGUUUAGCUAGUCAGAAUGAUGUAAUGCUGCCCUAUCCUUUCUUCCUAUACCUGUUUACCUGGUUUUUACCUGGUUGCAGUUUUUCUUGUGGAAA